UUGUCCUGUGACUGCGUACCUUUUGUAUAAUGGGUCAGCGACUUAUAUUCAGUGGCAAGGUUAACCAUCUAGGGGAGCCGUAGGGAAACCGAGUCUUAACUGGGCGUUCAGUCUCUGGAUAUAGACCCGAAACCAGGUGAUCUAGCCAUGGGCAGGUUGAAGGUUGAGUAACAUCAACUGGAGGACCGAACCGACUAAUGUUGAAAAAUUAGCGGAUGACUUGUGGCUAGGGGUGAAAGGCCAAUCAAACCUGGAGAUAGCUGGUUCUCCCCGAAAGCUAUUUAGGUAGCGCCUCGGACGAAUACUACUGGGGGUAGAGCACUGUUAAGGCUAGGGGGUCAUCCCGACUUACCAACCCUUUGCAAACUCCGAAUACCAGUAAGUACUAUCCGGGAGACACACGGCGGGUGCUAACGUCCGUCGUGGAGAGGGAAACAACCCAGACCGCCAGCUAAGGUCCCAAAUUACUACUAAGUGGGAAACGAUGUGGGAAGGCUCAGACAGCCAGGAUGUUGGCUUAGAAGCAGCCAUCAUUUAAAGAAAGCGUAAUAGCUCACUGGUCGAGUCGGCCUGCGCGGAAGAUGUAACGGGGCUAAGUAGUAAACCGAAGCUGCGGCAAUGUGCUUUUGCACAUUGGGUAGGGGAGCGUUCUGUAAGCGGUUGAAGGUGUGUGGUAACGCAUGCUGGACGUAU
rnacentral:rRNA from 1 species